GGGCCUGUAGGAUAGUGGUAAUCCACUCGAAUGGCAUUCGAGAAAUCCGAGUUCGAUUCUCGGCAGGUCCA
rnacentral:tRNA from 1 species